rnacentral:sRNA from 1 species
UGAUGCAUCCACUGUUCUGAGUCACGUCUUUUUACUCGCAUUU